GCAUUAGUGGGGUAGUGGUAACCUGGGUCGUUGCCAUUCUUCGUAAGAGUCUGAACUCGACCCGCCGGGAGUUCGAUUCUCUCCUAAUGCA